GGCCUUAGCGCCAUCUUCUUGGGUGAGUGUGAUUGUUGCGUGUGUCCGGAUCCGUGCACAAUCCAUUAACAUCUGAUCUCUGCGCUUGCCAUCAUUACAGCAAACUAACUGUGGCCUUUUUCUCUUUACCUGUAGAAACGUCUGCGCCAUGAGAGCCAAGUGGAGGAAGAAGCGAAUGCGCAGGCUGAAGCGUAAAAGAAGAAAGAUGAGGCAGAGGUCCAAGUAAACCGCUAACUUGUGCACCCAUGGAGCCACAGGAGCAGAAAGAAGGAAAGCCAGAGGCCAGGGGCGCUGGUACCAAUUGUUGGACUGCAUGCCUACUUUCUAGAGCUUGAUUCAAGGGCUCUAGACCAUCGCCAUCUGAUCGCAACGACCACCUUUGAAGAGACCUGCCUUGUUCAUACCAAAACAGUCCCUUUUGGUCCUUUGCCCUGGACCUGUGACUUUCGGGACUAAUUCUGUUUUCAUUUGUGGCUGGAUGUAACACAUGUACAAUAAAUCAUCUCUUCUGCUGUCUUAGCUGAAGAAAAAAAUGC